UACGUAGGGGGCAAGCGUUAUCCGGAAUUACUGGGUGUAAAGGGAGCGUAGACGGUAAUGUAAGUCUGGAGUGAAAGGCGGGGGCCCAACCCCCGGUCUGCUCUGGAAACUAUGUUACUAGAGUGCAGGAGAGGUAAGCGGAAUUCCUAGUGUAGCGGUGAAAUGCGUAGAUAUUAGGAGGAACACCAGUGGCGAAGGCGGCUUACUGGACUGUAACUGACGUUGAGGCUCGAAAGCGUGGGGAGCAAACAGG
rnacentral:rRNA from 1 species